CAAAGGUUGUCAGAUUUCCAAGACAGAUUCCAGAUGACGAUACGAAAAGCUCGUCUGAGUAUGUGCUCUUCCUUAGGGAGAAAGAGGAGCCAGUGGACCUGUGGGAGAACAAGGUACUAAAGGAUGCUAUGGUGCCAAGGGCCCUAAGGUAAGGAUUGCAAGAAGCACUGUGAAGGCUUCCCAACGUUAAUUCCUUUUCCUACACUAACCCCUGCUGUCCUUUCUAUUUCCAGGGAAAACAGGGGACUAAAUGGACAGGAGGUAUGGUACCAAACAUCAUUUAUCUGCCCAUCUGUUACCUAGAAUUAUUUUUGAGGUGAUUGACCAGUAGAUUGUACAAAUGAAGUUUUGUUGACCUUCCUUUUUAUUGCUAAUUAUUUCAUUUUUGUUUACUAAUGCCUUUUAUUGCAGACCAUGUUUGUGUUUGGUUGACAAUUUCUAUGACUCAGUAAUCUUAAAUAUGACCCAGGGCCAGCCUAGCAAAGAGCAUGUAUAUAGAACACAAAUUUGACUUUUAAUUUGGUGUCUGGCUUCUUUCCACGUAAAUGCAGUGCACUGUAUUCUGAUCACAUCUGUCUUUUCAGGGAGAAGCUGGGGAAAGUGGAAUUGAUGGCUUAAAUGGAGAACAGGUCGAACCUCUCUUUGUAUCAUGAAAACCCUCUGAGCUAGUUCUCGUUAAGAAAAUGAGAAUAUGAGUUUAUUGUUCUCUGUGUUUUAGGGUGAUAGUGGUCUUCCUGGAGCAAAAAGGAGAGAAAGGCAUUGAAGGAGCCCAGGGAAUCCCGGGAGAGAGAGGAAUUUCUGGGGACCAUGGAGCAAAGGGCUUGCGUGGAGACCCAGUAAGUGUGCUUGACCGAGGGGCUGCAAACUAACGUCACGUCAGGGCUCAUUUCCCAUCAGC
rnacentral:lncRNA from 1 species